CCUACGGGUGGCAGCAGUGAGGAAUAUUGGUCAAUGGGCGCGAGCCUGAACCAGCCAAGUAGCGUGAAGGAUGACGGCCCUACGGGUUGUAAACUUCUUUUAUAAAGGAAUAAAGUGAGGCACGUGUGCCUUUUUGUAUGUACUUUAUGAAUAAGGAUCGGCUAACUCCGUGCCAGCAGCCGCGGUAAUACGGAGGAUCCGAGCGUUAUCCGGAUUUAUUGGGUUUAAAGGGAGCGUAGAUGGGUUGUUAAGUCAGUUGUGAAAGUUUGCGGCUCAACCGUAAAAUUGCAAUGGAUACUGGCGGCCUUGAGUACAGUGGAGGUAGGCGGAAUUCGUGGUGUAGCGGUGAAAUGCUUAGAUAUCACGAAGAACUCCGAUUGCGAAGGCAGCUUACUAAACUGCCACUGACAUUGAUGCUCGAAAGUGUGGGUAUCAAACAGGAUUAGAUACCCCAGUAGUC
rnacentral:rRNA from 1 species